AGAGGAUCCACCCGUUCCCUUUCCGAACACGGAAGUUAAGCUCUUCUGCGCCGAUGGUACUGCACGGGCGACUGUGUGGGAGAGUAGGUCAUCGCCGUUU
rnacentral:rRNA from 1 species